AAUUCGAUUGAGUUUGAUCAUGGCUCAGAUUGAACGCUGGCGGCAUGCCUAACACAUGCAAGUCGAACGGCAGCACAGCUUAAGCUUGCUUAAGUGGGUGGCGAGUGGCGGACGGGUGAGUAAUGCAUCGGGACCUACCUGAACGUGGGGGAUAACGUAGGGAAACUUACGCUAAUACCGCAUACGUCCUACGGGAGAAAGCGGGGGACCUUCGGGCCUCGCGCGGUCAGACGGACCGAUGUUCGAUUAGCUAGUUGGUAAGGUAAUGGCUUACCAAGGCGACGAUCGAUAGCUGGUCUGAGAGGAUGAUCAGCCACACUGGAACUGAGACACGGUCCAGACUCCUACGGGAGGCAGCAGUGGGGAAUAUUGGACAAUGGGCGCAAGCCUGAUCCAGC
rnacentral:rRNA from 1 species